GCGAAGGUGGCGGAAUUGGUAGACGCGCUAGCUUCAGGUGUUAGUGUCCUUACGGACGUGGGGGUUCAAGUCCCCCCCCUCGCACCC
rnacentral:tRNA from 1 species